CCCGGCUAAAUGAAUAUAUUUGAAUUAAAUACGAUAAACUAGAAACAAACAUUCACCCGCACAUUUAAACAUUCAAUAAACACAUCACUCCUAAAUUUUGCCUACCCGAACCUAUAUUGCCUAUCCAUUUCAACGUAUCAUAAAUCUAUCACAUUCAUGCUUAUCCCGAAUCAAAAAAAACAGCAACAGACCAAAAUUUAACUACAUUCAAUUUUUAUCAAUUUCUUAAUUCCACCCCAAAUUUCUUUUUAUCAAUCACGUCACUAAAACUAAUCAAAUUUAUUCCUCAAACAAACAAAGUCGCAUAAUCUAGCGCAUGGUCAUAGCAUCAACAACAUCAAGCAUUCAUAAUCACCCAACACAUAAUCAUGGUCGCUUAAAAAAAUCAAAAUAGAGAAGAGGCAAUGGGUUAAAGAAAUGGACCUUUCGAUAUCAACUUUCGUUGAAAAUAACGUUAAAGAAGCCCGAACCAAAAGCCCAAAUAGGAGAACCUCAACAGCGAUGGAAUCCAAGCUCGGUAUCAAAGAAUUAAGACCCAAAACUAAACUCAA
rnacentral:lncRNA from 1 species